UCUCCUCUCUCUCUCCCUCUCCUCUCUCUCUCCGGCCCUCUUCCUCCCCUCUCUCUCCCUUUCUCUCUCCUACUCCCCCGCUUUCUGUGAGCCUGCUUUGAUGUUGACCCCCCUGACACUGACAGACCAGCCUCCGCGGUAAAAUCGACUUACGCGGAAUCUGCAAUCGGGACAGUGUCCACAGGGACUUUUGAACAUGGGCAUCUCUGGGUGGCAUCAGGAGCUUAAAAAAAAAAAAGACCUCCCUCGCUGCAUGCUGUCCCAGCCACAUCCAGACAACACAGCCCUCUUGUCAGGGGUGCAUGAAGACCCCACAGGAGAACUUGCAGCACGCAAUGCCUAUCUGUCUCCACUCCCCCAUCAUCCUCAGCUGAGAAAAACACUGCCAGAUCCCCCAAGAUGAAACUCUAAGGGACAGAGACUGAGAUGUGACGCUCUCUGUCUUAAAGGAGCCCGGCAAGCUGCUGAGAGUAUCUCGCCUGCACGGUGGAGCCUGGCAAGCUACUCAUGGCGUAUUCUAUAUGCCAAAAACAGUAACAAGUCUCACAAUGGAGACAUU